UAUAUAUUAGUGUAUGAUGCACGUGGAAUUUUGAAUUCUUUAGAUUUAGUUUAAUUCUAAAAUGUAUAA
rnacentral:tRNA from 1 species